UACGGGGGGGCAAGCGUUGUUCGGAAUUACUGGGCGUAAAGGGCUCGUAGGCGGCCAACUAAGUCGGACGUGAAAUCCCUCGGCUUAACCGGGGAACUGCGUCCGAUACUGGAUGGCUUGAGUAUGGGAGAGGGAUGCGGAAUUCCAGGUGUAGCGGUGAAAUGCGUAGAUAUCUGGAGGAACACCGGUGGCGAAGGCGGCAUCCUGGACCAUUACUGACGCUGAGGAGCGAAAGCCAGGGGAGCAAACGGG
rnacentral:rRNA from 1 species